CUGCGGCAGCGAACGUAUCACCCAAGACAACUUUACACAGUUGACGCCUGACGGAGCGAAGCGACGUCAAAGCGUUUUACAACGUCGAGUUGGCUUAGGGAUACGUUCGUUGGGUAGGGGAGCGUUCUGUAAGCCGUUGAAGGUGUGUCGUGAGGCAUGCUGGAGGUAUCAGAAGUGCGAAUGCUGACAUAAGUAACGAUAAAGCGGGUGAAAAGCCCGCUCGCCGGAAGACCAAGGGUUCCUGUCCAACGUUAAUCGGGGCAGGGUGAGUCGACCCCUAAGGCGAGGCCGAAAGGCGUAGUCGAUGGGAAACGGGUUAAUAUUCCCGUACUUGGUGUUACUGCGAAGGGGGGACGGAGAAGGCUAUGUUGGCCGGGCGACGGUUGUCCCGGUUUAAGCGUGUAGGUGUGUGUUCCAGGUAAAUCCGGUUCACUUUAACACUGAGGCGUGAUGACGAGGCACUACGGUGCUGAAGCAACAAAUGCCCUGCUUCCAGGAAAAGCCUCUAAGCCUCAGGUAACAUCAAAUCGUACCCCAAACCGACACAGGUGGUCAGGUAGAGAAUACCAAGGCGCUUGAGAGAACUCGGGUGAAGGAACUAGGCAAAAUGGUGCCGUAACUUCGGGAGAAGGCACGCUGACACGUAGGUGAAGUGGUUUACCCAUGGAGCUGAAGUCAGUCGAAGAUACCAGCUGGCUGCAACUGUUUAUUAAAAACACAGCACUGUGCAAACACGAAAGUGGACGUAUACGGUGUGACGCCUGCCCGGUGCCGGAAGGUUAAUUGAUGGGGUCAGCGCAAGCGAAGCUCCUGAUCGAAGCCCCGGUAAACGGCGGCCGUAACUAUAACGGUCCUAAGGUAGCGAAAUUCCUUGUCGGGUAAGUUCCGACCUGCACGAAUGGCGUAAUGAUGGCCAGGCUGUCUCCACCCGGGACUCAGUGAAAUUGAACUCGCUGUGAAGAUGCAGUGUACCCGCGGCAAGACGGAAAGACCCCGUGAACCUUUACUAUAGCUUGACACUGAACACUGGUCCUUGAUGUGCAGGAUAGGUGGGAGGCUUUGAAGUGUGGACGCCAGUCUGCAUGGAGCCAUCCUUGAAAUACCACCCUUUAAUGGCUGGUGUUCUAACGUGGGCCCGUGAACCGGGUUGCGGACAGUGUCUGGUGGGUAGUUUGACUGGGGCGGUCUCCUCCUAAAGAGUAACGGAGGAGCACGAAGGUUGGCUAAUCCUGGUCGGACAUCAGGAGGUUAGUGCAAUGGCAUAAGCCAGCUUGACUGCGAGCGUGACGGCGCGAGCAGGUGCGAAAGCAGGUCAUAGUGAUCCGGUGGUUCUGAAUGGAAGGGCCAUCGCUCAACGGAUAAAAGGUACUCCGGGGAUAACAGGCUGAUACCGCCCAAGAGUUCAUAUCGACGGCGGUGUUUGGCACCUCGAUGUCGGCUCAUCACAUCCUGGGGCUGAAGUAGGUCCCAAGGGUAUGGCUGUUCGCCAUUUAAAGUGGUACGCGAGCUGGGUUUAGAACGUCGUGAGACAGUUCGGUCCCUAUCUGCCGUGGGCGCUGGAAGAUUGAGGGGGGCUGCUCCUAGUACGAGAGGACCGGAGUGGACGCAUCACUGGUGUUCGGGUUGUCAUGCCAAUGGCACUGCCCGGUAGCUACAUGCGGAAGAGAUAAGUGCUGAAAGCAUCUAAGCACGAAACUUGCCCCGAGAUGAAUCUUCCCUGAGCCUUUAAGGCUCCUGAAGGAACGUUGAAGACGACGACGUUGAUAGGCCGGGUGUGUAAGCGCAGCGAUGCGUUGAGCUAACCGGUACUAAUGAACCGUGAGGCUUAACCUUACAACGCCGAAG
rnacentral:rRNA from 1 species